rnacentral:rRNA from 1 species
GACGAACGCUGGCUGCGUGCUUAACACAUGCAAGUCGAACGCUGAAGCCUGGUGCUUGCACCGGGUGGAUGAGUGGCGAACGGGUGAGUAACACGUGAGUAACCUGCCCCUGACUUCGGGAUAAGCCCGGGAAACUGGGUCUAAUACCGGAUACGACUGCCGGACGCAUGUCUGGUGGUGGAAAGUUUUUUCGGUUGGGGAUGGGCUCGCGGCCUAUCAGUUUGUUGGUGAGGUAAUGGCUCACCAAGACGACGACGGGUAGCCGGCCUGAGAGGGCGACCGGCCACACUGGGACUGAGACACGGCCCAGACUCCUACGGGAGGCAGCAGUGGGGAAUAUUGCACAAUGGGGGAAACCCUGAUGCAGCGACGCAGCGUGCGGGAUGACGGCCUUCGGGUUGUAAACCGCUUUCAGCAGGGAAGAAGCGCAAGUGACGGUACCUGCAGAAGAAGUACCGGCUAACUACGUGCCAGCAGCCGCGGUAAUACGUAGGGUACGAGCGUUGUCCGGAAUUAUUGGGCGUAAAGAGCUCGUAGGUGGUUGGUCACGUCUGCUGUGGAAACGCAACGCUUAACGUUGCGCGUGCAGUGGGUACGGGCUGACUAGAGUGCAGUAGGGGAGUCUGGAAUUCCUGGUGUAGCGGUGAAAUGCGCAGAUAUCAGGAGGAACACCGGUGGCGAAGGCGGGACUCUGGGCUGUAACUGACACUGAGGAGCGAAAGCAUGGGGAGCGAACAGGAUUAGAUACCCUGGUAGUCCAUGCCGUAAACGUUGGGCACUAGGUGUGGGGGGCAUUCCACGUUCUCCGCGCCGUAGCUAACGCAUUAAGUGCCCCGCCUGGGGAGUACGGUCGCAAGGCUAAAACUCAAAGGAAUUGACGGGGGCCCGCACAAGCGGCGGAGCAUGCGGAUUAAUUCGAUGCAACGCGAAGAACCUUACCAAGGCUUGACAUACACCGGACCGUCCUGGAAACAGGUCUUCUUCUUUGAAGCUGGUGUACAGGUGGUGCAUGGUUGUCGUCAGCUCGUGUCGUGAGAUGUUGGGUUAAGUCCCGCAACGAGCGCAACCCUCGUUCUAUGUUGCCAGCACGUGAUGGUGGGAACUCAUAGGAGACUGCCGGGGUCAACUCGGAGGAAGGUGGGGAUGACGUCAAAUCAUCAUGCCCUUUAUGCCUUGGGCUUCACGCAUGCUACAAUGGCUGGUACAGAGAGAGGCGAACCCGUGAGGGCAAGCGAAUCCCUUAAAGCCAGUCUCAGUUCGGAUCGUAGUCUGCAAUUCGACUACGUGAAGUCGGAGUCGCUAGUAAUCGCAGAUCAGCAACGCUGCGGUGAAUACGUUCCCGGGCCU